rnacentral:misc_RNA from 1 species
AGGUGACGUGCUCAUGCACUCUCGCCACCCUCCAGAAGCCCUAAAAAGAGGCGGUAGCUAGAGCUUUAUCAAUUAUUGAACUUCUUUUGUCUUUGGAAUCUGAUUUUCAAAAUUUCUUUACUUCUUUUUCUAAUUGUAGUCACUUGCGAUCCCAUUGUUCAAGGAGACCCAAAGUGAAGAAUGUGAAAAAGAAAGCCUAAACGGCUAAAACCUCUCUGCUGGCUACCUCAAUCUUCACCCCAUUAUCGAGGUCUAUCCAAGUAUUUAAACCACCUUACCCCAAAACCUAAAUCACAAGGAAACAAUCUCUUCUUCUUCAACUUAGUACGUACGUACUCAUCCUCCUUUCUUUCAUCUCUGUGAUUUUGCUUGCUAGUUAACUCAAGGAAAUUCAGAGGAGCAAAGAUGAGCAGACCAGGGGACUGGAAUUGCAGGUCAUGCCAGCACCUCAACUUCCAAAGGAGAGACUCAUGUCAGCGUUGCGGAGAGCCAAGGCCUGGGGAGAGAGGUGACUAUUAUGGAAGUUUUGGAGGGAGGGGCGGCUCAUCUUUUGGAUUUACGGGGCCUGAUGUUAGGCCUGGUGACUGGUAUUGCACGUUUGGCAACUGUGGAGCUCAUAACUUCGCUAGCCGUUCCAGCUGCUUCAAGUGUGGUGCGUCCAAGGACGACACUUCUGGUGGAUUUGACGGUGAUAUGUCGCGGAUGAGAGGUUUUGGGUUUGGAGGCGGCAGCACUAGUCGUUCAGGAUGGAAAUCUGGAGACUGGAUUUGCACUAGGUUAUUUAAUUAAUUUCUCUUCUCACUCUAUACAUUCUCUUCUUUCAUCUAUAAUACGUACAGUGACCAUGCACAUAACUGUAUACCUAUUUUUUUCAUAGAAAAUGGUAAUUUAUUUCUGUGCACUAAUUAAUUUCUCACUUAAACUCAAGCUACUGUUAAUUAAUGAGUGUUAUAUGUUCAUAUAUUUUAAUUUGACAGGUCUGGCUGCAACGAGCACAACUUUGCUAGCAGGACUGAAUGCUACAGAUGCAAUGCACCGAGGGAUUUAUCUGCUAGCAAGUCUUCAUAUUAAAAUCAUCGAUUAAUUUCCAUUUCCGUUUCUG